GUUAAGCUCAGAUACGAGAUCAUCGAUCGGGAGAUUUGGAUCAAGACGACGAGCUUUAGCCAGGAAUUUCAAAGCGCGAGGUCGAUCUCCAGCUUCCAUAGCACUUUUGCAGAUUUUCAAGCACUUCAACGCAUCGUCUUUGUUUCCAUCCAUGUUCACCCUCACGAAAUCAGAACAAGCGAGCCCUAGAAAACAAGAG